UCAGCUCUCUUGCCAUUUGGCUUGAAUCAAGAUGCAGUAAAUGGUUUUCUUAGUUUAAUCUCUAGGACGUGCCAUGGGCACACUAAGAUUGACCCAGUUUUUGGAAGCCGGUUGGCGGCCUCUGAGCUCGCUCAUGCCGCUGACCACAGUGUCGUUCCUAUUGCACUAUCGGGUCCUGACGCGAACAUCU
rnacentral:snRNA from 1 species